rnacentral:rRNA from 1 species
CCAGAGUAUCAAUUGGAGGGCAAGUCUGGUGCCAGCAGCCGCGGUAAUUCCAGCUCCAAUAGCGUAUAUUAAACUUGUUGCAGUUAAAAAGCUCGUAGUUGAAUUUCUGCUGCAUCGUGGUUCUUCGCUAUGUCGAGUGAUCUUCGUUGUGGCUUAGUUGGGGCAUGUUUUCAUGACUCGACGUUUACUUUGAGAAAAUUAGAGUGCU